GAUGAACGCUUGCUACAGGCUUAACACAUGCAAGUCGAGGGGCAUCAGGAAGAAAGCUUGCUUUCUUUGCUGGCGACCGGCGCACGGGUGAGUAACACGUAUCCAACCUGCCCUUUACUCGGGGAUAGCCUUUCGAAAGAAAGAUUAAUACCCGAUGGCAUAAUGAUUCCGCAUGGUUUCAUUAUUAAAGGAUUCCGGUAAAGGAUGGGGAUGCGUUCCAUUAGGUUGUUGGUGAGGUAACGGCCCACCAAGCCUUCGAUGGAUAGGGGUUCUGAGAGGAAGGUCCCCCACAUUGGAACUGAGACACGGUCCAAACUCCUACGGGAGGCAGCAGUGAGGAAUAUUGGUCAAUGGGCGGUAGCCUGAACCAGCCAAGUAGCGUGAAGGAUGAAGGCUCUAUGGGUCGUAAACUUCUUUUAUAUAAGAAUAAAGUGCAGUAUGUAUACUGUUUUGUAUGUAUUAUAUGAAUAAGGAUCGGCUAACUCCGUGCCAGCAGCCGCGGUAAUACGGAGGAUCCGAGCGUUAUCCGGAUUUAUUGGGUUUAAAGGGAGCGUAGGUGGACUGGUAAGUCAGUUGUGAAAGUUUGCGGCUCAACCGUAAAAUUGCAGUUGAUACUGUCAGUCUUGAGUACAGUAGAGGUGGGCGGAAUUCGUGGUGUAGCGGUGAAAUGCUUAGAUAUCACGAAGAACUCCGAUUGCGAAGGCAGCUCACUGGACUGCAACUGACACUGAUGCUCGAAAGUGUGGGUAUCAAACAGGAUUAGAUACCCUGGUAGUCCACACAGUAAACGAUGAAUACUCGCUGUUUGCGAUAUACAGUAAGCGGCCAAGCGAAAGCAUUAAGUAUUCCACCUGGGGAGUACGCCGGCAACGGUGAAACUCAAAGGAAUUGACGGGGGCCCGCACAAGCGGAGGAACAUGUGGUUUAAUUCGAUGAUACGCGAGGAACCUUACCCGGGCUUAAAUUGCAGUGGAAUGAUGUGGAAACAUGUCAGUGAGCAAUCACCGCUGUGAAGGUGCUGCAUGGUUGUCGUCAGCUCGUGCCGUGAGGUGUCGGCUUAAGUGCCAUAACGAGCGCAACCCUUAUCUUCAGUUACUAACAGGUCAUGCUGAGGACUCUGGAGAGACUGCCGUCGUAAGAUGUGAGGAAGGUGGGAUGACGUCAAAUCAGCACGGCCCUUACGUCCGGGGCUACACACGUGUUACAAUGGGGGGUACAGAAGGCAGCUAGCGGGUGACCGUAUGCUAAUCCCAAAAGCCUCUCUCAGUUCGGAUCGAAGUCUGCAACCCGACUUCGUGAAGCUGGAUUCGCUAGUAAUCGCGCAUCAGCCACGGCGCGGUGAAUACGUUCCCGGGCCUUGUACACACCGCCCGCCAAGCCAUGGGAGCCGGGGGUACCUGAAGUACGUAACCGCAAGGAUCGUCCUAGGGUAAAACUGGUGACUGGGGCUAAGUC
rnacentral:rRNA from 1 species